UAUCUUAUUGUCUGGGGCUCAGAUUGGUGUAUAAAUUCUGACCGUGGCCAAUAUGAUACG
rnacentral:pre_miRNA from 1 species